rnacentral:ncRNA from 1 species
AUAAUAGAGAGUUUGAUCCUGGCUCAGGACGAACGCUGGCGGCGUGCCUAACACAUGCAAGUCGAACGUGAUCUUCAGAGUAGUUUACUACACUGAAGUGAAAGUGGCGGACGGGUGAGUAACGCGUGGGUAACCUGGCCUAUGGAAGGGGAUAGCCUCGGGAAACCGGGAUUAAUACCGUAUGUAGUUGAGAUGUCGCAUGACAUAUCAAUGAAAGAUUUAUCGCCAUAGGAUGGACCCGCGUCCCAUUAGCUAGUUGGUGAGAUAACAGCUCACCAAGGCGACGAUGGGUAGCCGGCCUGAGAGGGCGGACGGCCACACUGGGACUGAGACACGGCCCAGACUCCUACGGGAGGCAGCAGUGGGGAAUAUUGCGCAAUGGGGGCAACCCUGACGCAGCAACGCCGCGUGAAUGAUGAAGGUCUUCGGAUCGUAAAGUUCUGUCAAAGGGGAAGAAAAAAAUGACGGUACCCUUAGAGGAAGCCCCGGCUAACUACGUGCCAGCAGCCGCGGUAAUACGUAGGGGGCAAGCGUUGUCCGGAAUUACUGGGCGUAAAGGGCGUGUAGGCGGUUUUUUAAGUCAGAUGUGAAAGUUCGGGGCUCAACCUCGGAAUUGCAUUUGAAACUGGAGAACUUGAGUACUGGAGAGGUAAGUGGAAUUCCUAGUGUAGCGGUGAAAUGCGUAGAUAUUAGGAGGAACACCAGUGGCGAAGGCGACUUACUGGACAGAUACUGACGCUGAGGCGCGAAAGCGUGGGGAGCGAACAGGAUUAGAUACCCUGGUAGUCCACGCCGUAAACGAUGAGUGCUAGGUGUUGGGGCAACUCAGUGCCGUAGUUAACACAAUAAGCACUCCGCCUGGGGAGUACGAUCGCAAGAUUGAAACUCAAAGGAAUUGACGGGGGCCCGCACAAGCAGCGGAGCAUGUGGUUUAAUUCGAAGCAACGCGAAGAACCUUACCAGGUCUUGACAUUUCCUGAUGAUCGCAGAGAUGCGAAGUUCCCUUCGGGGACAGGAGGACAGGUGGUGCAUGGUUGUCGUCAGCUCGUGUCGUGAGAUGUUGGGUUAAGUCCCGCAACGAGCGCAACCCUUGUAUUUAGUUGCCAGCAGGU